rnacentral:other from 1 species
AGGAUGCGUGAUCUGAUCCUUCAACUCAGCAAAAGUUCGAUUUAUUCAACAAAGCCAACGAAUUGCUGUGUGUAGUCUUUGCCCAUCUCCCACGAUGGGCUUUUUUUUAA